CUACUCUCGAUUAUAAGUUUCGAGCUUCGAGAACGUGAUGAUUCGAUUGUGAAACGAAAGUAAGUAAAUUCAUUUGUGCUGCUGAAAUUAUUAUUUUUUACGGACGCAGAGAACAUGGCCAGACCUGGAGUGAUGUAAAAGAGCAUGGGCAAGACAGGGUGAAGUGAAGAUAACUUGUGAGGGCCCUAUGUACCAGCGGGGUACCUUAGUGCUAGAACAACAACAAAAAUGUGAAAAAUUAAGGGGAAAAAAGCAAUGGCUAUGAUAUUAACAAGCAUGAAAUAGAAUAAUAAAAUACAUUUAUUAGUUAAAAUUUCUGUUUAUUACCUUUAAUCUAUCAACUUACAAUAAUAUAUUAAAUUUUUAGUAUUGUAAACUUCUCUUAGUUUGUAUGUCAUCCAAAAGUAUUCUUAGUUCUUCAUCUUCAAAUUUUCCUUCUAAUGAUGGUAUCAGUGCUUUCGCUUCCUCCGGUGUUUCAGGACAUAAA